GCUGGGUGUGGGGGUGCACACCUGUAAUCCCAACAACUCAGGAGGCCGAGGCAGGAGAAUUUCAGGUUUGAGACCAGCUUAGGCAAUUUAGCAAGAGCCUGUCUCAA
rnacentral:sRNA from 1 species